UACAGAGGUCUCAAGCGUUGUUCGGAUUCAUUGGGCGUAAAGGGUGCGUAGGUGGCGGGGUAAGUCUGGUGUGAAAUCUCGGAGCUCAACUCCGAAACUGCCUUCAAUACUGCUGUGCUCGAGGACUGUAGAGGGGAAUGGAAUUCACGGUGUAGCAGUGAAAUGCGUAGAUAUCGUGAGGAAGACCAGUGGCGAAGGCGAUUCUCUGGGCAGUUCCUGACACUGAGGCACGAAGGCUAGGGGAGCAAACGGG
rnacentral:rRNA from 1 species